CCUACGGGGGGCAGCAGUGAGGAAUAUUGGUCAAUGGACGAGAGUCUGAACCAGCCAAGUAGCGUGAAGGAUUACUGCCCUAUGGGUUGUAAACUUCUUUUAUAUGGGAAUAAAAUGUUCCACGUGUGGGAUUUUGUAUGUACCAUAUGAAUAAUGAUCGGCUAACUCCGUGCCAGCAGCCGCGGUAAUACGGAGGAUGCGUGCGUUAUCCGGAUUUGUUGGGUUGAAAGGGCGCGUAGGUGGAUUGUUAAGUGAGGUGUGAAAGUUUGCGGCUCAACCGGAAAAUUGCAGUUGAAACUGGCAGUCUAGAGUACAGUAGAGGUGGGCGGAAUUCGGGGUGUAGCGGUGAAAUGCUUAGAUAUCACGAAGAACUCCGAUUGCGAAGGCAGCUCACUGGACUGCAACUGACACUGAGGCACGAAAGUGAGGGUAUCAAACAGGAUUAGAUACCCGAGUAGUC
rnacentral:rRNA from 1 species